GCUUCUCUUGAGAGCGGCGGACGGGUGAGUAAUACCUAGGAAUCUGCCUGAUAGUGGGGGAUAACGUUCGGAAACGGACGCUAAUACCGCAUACGUCCUACGGGAGAAAGCAGGGGACCUUCGGGCCUUGCGCUAUCAGAUGAGCCUAGGUCGGAUUAGCUAGUUGGUGAGGUAAUGGCUCACCAAGGCUACGAUCCGUAACUGGUCUGAGAGGAUGAUCAGUCACACUGGAACUGAGACACGGUCCAGACUCCUACGGGAGGCAGCAGUGGGGAAUAUUGGACAAUGGGCGAAAGCCUGAUCCAGCCAUGCCGCGUGUGUGAAGAAGGUCUUCGGAUUGUAAAGCACUUUAAGUUGGGAGGAAGGGUAUUAACCUAAUACGUUAGUACUUUGACGUUACCGACAGAAUAAGCACCGGCUAACUCUGUGCCAGCAGCCGCGGUAAUACAGAGGGUGCAAGCGUUAAUCGGAAUUACUGGGCGUAAAGCGCGCGUAGGUGGUUUGUUAAGUUGAAUGUGAAAUCCCCGGGCUCAACCUGGGAACUGCAUCCAAAACUGGCAAGCUAGAGUAUGGUAGAGGGUAGUGGAAUUUCCUGUGUAGCGGUGAAAUGCGUAGAUAUAGGAAGGAACACCAGUGGCGAAGGCGACUACCUGGACUGAUACUGACACUGAGGUGCGAAAGCGUGGGGAGCAAACAGGAUUAGAUACCCUGGUAGUCCACGCCGUAAACGAUGUCAACUAGCCGUUGGGAGUCUUGAACUCUUAGUGGCGCAGCUAACGCAUUAAGUUGACCGCCUGGGGAGUACGGCCGCAAGGUUAAAACUCAAAUGAAUUGAC
rnacentral:rRNA from 1 species